rnacentral:rRNA from 1 species
CACGUAGGUGGCGAGCGUUAUCCGGAUUUAUUGGGCGUAAAGCGCGCGCAGGCAGCCAAUCAAGUCUGACGUGAAAGCUCCCGGCUCAACUGGGAGAGGUCGUUGGAAACUGAGUGGCUUGAGGCAAUGAGAGGGGUGCGGAAUUCCCGGUGUAGUGGUGGAAUGCGUAGAUAUCGGGGGGAACACCAGUGGCGAAAGCGGCACCCUGGCAUUGACCUGACGCUCAUGUGCGAAAGCGUGGGGAGCAAACGGG